GUCUUUUUGAGUUAUUUUUAAAGUCUGACCUGCCCACUGAAUAUUUUUAAAUGGCCGCAGUAUUCUAACUGUGCAAAGGUAGCAUAAUCAUUAGUCUUUUAAUUGAAGGCUGGUAUGAACGGUUGGACGAAGUAUAAGCUGUUUCAUAUAAAAUUAUAUUAGAAUUUUAUAUUUUAGUUAAAAAGCUAAAAUAUUAUUAAAAGACGAGAAGACCCUAUAAAUCUUUAUAUUUAAUAUUAUUCAAAUUUUUUUGAUUAAUUUUAUUUUUAUAAUAUUAAAUAUUUUGUUGGGGUGAUAUUAAAAUUUAAUAAACUUUUAAUUUUGAAUUAGAACAUUAAUUUAUGAAUAGUUGAUCCAUUAUUAAUGAUUAUAAGAUUAAGUUACUUUAGGGAUAACAGCGUAAUUUUUUUUGAGAGUUCAUAUCGACAAAAAAGUUUGCGACCUCGAUGUUGGAUUAAGAUAUAUAUUUAGGUGUAGCUGUUUAAAUAUUAAGUCUGUUCGACUUUUAAAUUCUU
rnacentral:rRNA from 1 species